UCCAUUACUAAAGCUGAGCUGGGCAGAGGGUCUGCAGAGAGCUCUGUUGCUGGACACUCUCUGCCUGCCUGCCUGCUUCCUUCCUCAGCUUCAAGCUUCAGGAAGGCCUGCAUGGAGGCCUCUCUGGAAGCCCCACCCACCCACGGAACAGCUAAGAGGCAGGAGAGGUGGAACUCUAGCAGCAUGCCUGGGAGCCUUUCAAGCUGCACACAGACACAAAAGAUGGGCUCCAGCUGGGCUGCGGGGAAAGAUAGGUGGCUGGGACUGGGAGAGAGAGGAGGGCAGGCUGCACUGCAGUGUGCCAAGAGCAGGGCCUGUGCCAGCGCAGGGCUCGGGGCAAUUGCCCCAGUCACCCUACCAUAGAGAUGGCCCUGCUGGUAGCUCUACUCCUCGAUUGGCCCUUCAUCACUGGCCAGCUCUGGUUUAUAUAACCAUGUUGUGGUCUCUCUUUUUCUUACUGGUCCUUUUGGCUGGUCUCUAGCCUUAGAGCCUAGAGCCAGUCCCCCAGAGGGUGGUAAGGUGUCUGUUGCCAUCACAGAACAUCCACUUCCCUUAGCCAGAUCCAGUUGCCCCUGGUUUCUGGUUCACAGAACUCCCUUCUCCCAGGGCAGCUCUCCCCAGUCUGGCCUCUCAUCAUCGGUCUGGAGUCCCUUAUAUAGUCCCAAAAUCUCAUUAGUGAUUUCGUGAGAGUGAGGUGGUGGGAUCUUGGAGCAAGGCCCCAUGGAGCCAACUCCAGAUCCCACGGUAUCUUGUAAGGGGCAGCCGACAAGCAGUCGGCAGCCCAGGGCAGCCAAACAGGGCUUUUGGAGCCCAGGCUUGGAGGCAGAAUACCGGCCUCUGAGCAAUGAAGGAGAGGCCCGUCGUCGUGUCAGGUAAGCAGCAAGGAGUCGGAUGCAGCAGCAGAGCCCUGACACACCUGUGGCAGUUAGGGCAUGUCUCGUGAGAACGCAGGCUGAGAUCUUGCAUGAGUUGCCCCUGAUCCUGCGACGACUCGCCAUCUUCAAGCGACAGCAUGCUGUUAUCCUGUGGGGGCCCGGCAGACACUGUGGCCAGGGCAAGCAGCCGCCUCCAGGGCUGCAUGGCCAGGAGGGACCGAAAGCAGCCACACUGGGAUGGUGGCCAGAAGUUUCAUCUGCUGGCAACAUUACUACAAACCAGGUGAUCCAGUUCAUGGCUGCAGUUUUUGCGAGAGAAGGUCUUCCUAAAGAACUAAUGACUGGCAAUGGGACACAGCUUACCUCAUUUGAAAUGGAGUAAUACCUGCAUAACCACGGAAUAAAACACAAGACUAUUUCCUUGUACCAUCCUAGAGGGAAUGUCUUAGAGGAAAGAAUGAGCAGGAAAGCCACCUUUUGAACUGCUAAGAGGACACAAAGCUACCACCAAACUUACCCAAUGGCAAAAACUGUUGGAUCACUCUGUGGAUGCACUGCAGAGAUUCAUGAUCAGGUAAGGGAGAAGUACCAAAAAUACAAAUUGUAUGUGCAUCAGAAACAUUUAAAGUGGGGGGCUUUAUUCGAGUAUGGCUGCCUUAUAAAGUGAGAAAGGGAUGUUUCCAAUACUCUGGACCAAAACAAAUAAUUGCUAUCCGAGGAGAGUUCACAUUAGAUGAUGGAAAUAAAUUGAAUAGAGUGAGAUUUUCCAGCAUGCAUACUAUGUGAAAAGAGAGAAGGGAGUCUGAUCUUCAGAGAGGAGCGGGAGAGGACUUUGAUCCUGCCUUCAGUUUUGACCGCUCAUAGGAGGCUGAUGAAAGUGAUGGACAAUCCUCUAUACCAGAAAAAACACUAACAGCUGCUGUGCCAGAGAACCCAAGAACUGGGAGCAGUGUGCACAACAGGAGAUCACCUGACUUCAUAACUUUGUCACUUAAUUUUAAAUUAAUUCAAUUCUGGUUGUUAUAAAGGGGAGAGAUGUGUUGUAUUCUAGUCUGUCUAGUAAUAGUUUAUGUUUUGUUGUUGAGAAUUUUGGCCCAGUGGGGAUCCUGUAGAGUGUGUGGGGGAGUCAGAAAAGGAAAAGGGAGGGAAAGGGGAAGGAGAAAAUGGAGUUAUUUCUCAAUAAACUCUUAGUUAAAUCUACAUAAGAUUUAGGCACGGAGGGAGGCCAGUGGCGGCCCAUGCCACCACAGCCCCCCAUGUCCCACCCCCUGCAUCAGCAUUUGAUGCCAGAUGCAGGGAGUGGUUAGCCAUGCCCCCUGUGUCUGAUGUCAGACGUGGGGGCGUGUCUGGGGUGUGAGACAUGGCCCCCGAGGGGCAACAGCUUAGGUUCUUUGAACCCGUUUGCUCAAUAGUGGCUCCACCCCUGAUAAGACUGCUUUGUGUUUAUGAGGGAAGCAGCUAUAAAACAUAUACAUAAAAAGGGCUUCUGCUAAUUAAAUGAUGUCCCUGUUUUAUUUAUUUAUUUAUUGUUCAACUUUUAUACUGUCUUUCAUAAUGCAUCUCAAGGCAGUUUACAAAAGUUAAAAUACAAAAAUACGAGCCCCUGGUGGCGCAGUGGUAAAACUGCCGCCCUGUAACCAGAAGGUUACAAGUUCGAUCCUGACCAGGGGCUCAAGGUUGACUCAGCCUUCCAUCCUUCCGAGGUCGGUAAAAUGAGUACCCAGAAUGUUGGGGGCAAGAUGCUAAAUCAUUGUAAACCGCUUAGAGAGCUCCGGCUAUAGAGCAGUAUAUAAAUGUAAGUGCUAUUGCUAUUGUUAUUGCUAAAAGGUAAAAUGCAAUAAAAUCCUGUAAAAGUUACAUUUAAAACAGUGAUUCUCAA